rnacentral:snoRNA from 1 species
AGCUUGUGAUAAAUAGAUGAUGCCAUAUGAGUACAUUGAUUAUACUCCAACCGUUCCAUUUAUUUCUGAAGCU